AACAGGACUUGUGUGCUGAGUUAUGCAGCCUUACACGGAACUCUAUACAAGGUCAUUUUUCAAACAAGAUCAGCCACCUGUGUUCAGGCACGCUCACCCCCAUAGGGAAGCCCUGCUGAGAAAGGCAUCCGGCCAUGGGGAACUGCAACCUUCACAGCAGGGUUCUCCAUAUUAGUGCAGCAGAGGUACUUACAUGUGAGCUGAGACUCUUGCAGGGGAAGGGUCUUCUGUACCACAAAGUGUUUCUUACGCAAGAUUUUUCUGACUGUUUCACAAGUUUGAGAUAUUUCUUUGGCUUGGGCUGUUUAUAUACUACUUUGGGAAUCUUGUAUACUUUGGUAGCAUUGCUGUAUGGAAAUUUUAAAGGGUUGUGUUGUGUAUGUUUGUCCUUUCUGAGUUCUCCCUAGUGAGAAUAUCACAUGAGUUUUGUUUUCUAUUUAUGUAUGGUUAAUUAUAUCCUGGGGCAUGCUGAGCUUCACUGAGUUCAAUUCUAGCUACCUCUGUUUUGUUUUGGUGGAGUUUGUUGUUUUUAUUUUUGUUUUUGUUUUGUAAUGCAGCAUUGUCGUAGGUGGGGUUUCUAUUGCUGUUAUAAAACACCAUAACCAAAAACAAACUUGAGGAGGAAAUGAUUUAUUUCAGCUUCCAGUCCAUCACUGAGGGAAGUUAGUGCAGGAACUUGAGAUGGGGACUAAUGCAGAGACCAUGAAGGAACACUGCGUACUAGCUUGCUCCUCAUCUCAUGGCUUGCUUUCUCAGCUUGCUUUUAUACCAUCCAGAGCCACCUGCCCAGGGGUGGCAACAGCCUCAGUGAGUGGGGCCUUCCUACAUCAAGCACUAAUUAAGAAAAUGUCCCACAGACUUAUUAACCCACAGGUCCGUCAGGUAAGGGCAUUUUCUCAGUUGAGGCUCCGUCUUCCAAAUGACUGGUAACUUGUAUCAGUUUAACUAAAAAAGGUAGAGGAGGAAGAGGGAAGGAAAAACAUGAUAAGCAUUUACUGACAACUAGAAUUAGAGGGCCUGCUCUAUAUGUUUACUAUAGUAGAUACCUUACUGGGUCAUGAAUGGACACAUUCUUUUAAGAUACUUUUGCCUCUAGACUCUAGCAUACCAACUUCCACACAUUUUAAAUCUGUACUAUGCACUAUGGCAUUCACUAAAGUUUAACAUGUGGCUUUUGAAUAUUUGAAACAUGGCUAUUUCAAAUUUAGGUGUGCUGUUAUAAUGAGUGUACUGAAAAUCUACAGAAUGAUAGGAAAUACUAAAAUGAUUUUGGUUUUGUCAUUUUUGUUCAUUGUUUUUGUUUUAGGUGAGGUCUUACUUUGUAGAUCUGACUGGCUUCCAACUCUAUAUAGACCAGGCUGGCCUCAAACUCACAGAGAUCUGUCUCUGCCUCUCAGGUGCUAGAAUUAAAGGUGUGAACCACCAUGCCUGGCUUGAUAGCUUUUUAAAAAAGAUUUGUUUGAAGGUUUUCUUGUUUUUGUUUUUAACGUAUAUGAGUGUUUUUCCUACAUGUACAUCUGUGCACCAUCUGUGUGUCUGAUGUCUGUCGAGGCCAGAAAAAGGCAGCAGAUCCUCUGGAGCUGGAGUUAAAAUGGUUGUGAGCAUCCCUCUGCAAGAGCAGCCCAUGCUCCGAACCACUGAACCAUCUCUCUAGCCCCUCAUUUGCUCUUUUUUUAAUAGAAAAUUGAGGCUGGUGGUGGAGACAGGGAUGGCACACUGUUAUUUCUUUCAGAGUUAUGUGGUUACUCUUUCUCUUAAAGUAGGACUCAUAGCUUUGGCUCUAAAUUGUUUAUCAUUAAUUUGUUAAAAUGCUAAGCUAGUUU
rnacentral:lncRNA from 1 species